AGGAAGGCUCGUCCGCUCUGGGUUAGUCGGGUCCUAAGCUGAGGCCGACAGGCGUAGGCGAUGGAUAACAGGUUGAUAUUCCUGUACCACCUAUAAUCGUUUUAAUCGAUGGGGGGACGCAGUAGGAUAGGCGAAGCGUGCGAUUGGAUUGCACGUCUAAGCAGUAAGGCUGAGUAUUAGGCAAAUCCGGUACUCGUUAAGGCUGAGCUGUGAUGGGGAGAAGACAUUGUGUCUUCGAGUCGUUGAUUUCACACUGCCGAGAAAAGCCUCUAGAUAGAAAAUAGGUGCCCGUACCGCAAACCGACACAGGUAGUCAAGAUGAGAAUUCUAAGGUGAGCGAGCGAACUCUCGUUAAGGAACUCGGCAAAAUGACCCCGUAACUUCGGGAGAAGGGGUGCUCUUUAGGGUUAACGCCCAGAAGAGCCGCAGUGAAUAGGCCCAAGCGACUGUUUAUCAAAAACACAGGUCUCUGCUAAACCGUAAGGUGAUGUAUAGGGGCUGACGCCUGCCCGGUGCUGGAAG
rnacentral:rRNA from 1 species